rnacentral:rRNA from 1 species
CAAAACAUGGCUUCUCGUUAAUCAAAUGUGAAGUCUUACCUGCCCAGUGAAUAUUUUAACGGCCGCGGUACUCUGACCGUGCAAAGGUAGCAUAAUAAUUUGCUUUAUAAUUGAAGGCUAGAAUGAAUGGUUUGUCAAGGGUGAAACUGUCUCUAAUGGAUUUUAUAAAAUUUUAUCUUUAGGUGAAAAAGCCUAAAUUGUAUUAAAAGACAAGAAGACCCUAUCGAGCUUUAAAUAAAUUAGUAAAAUUUUAAGUUAUUAUUAAAAACUAAGUUACUAAAAAUUUUGGUUGGGGCAACCAAGGAGCAAAAAAAGCCUCCUGUAAAUUAAUAUAAAUUUAUGUUGAUCCAGAAAAUCUGAUUAUAAGAAAUAGUUACCGUAGGGAUAACAGCAUUAUUUUUUUUAAGAGUUCAUAUCGAAAAAGAAGUUUGUGACCUCGAUGUUGGACCAGAAUAUCCUAAAGAUGUAGAAGUCUUUAAGGGUUGGUCUGUUCGACCAUUAAAAUUCUACGUGAUC